rnacentral:lncRNA from 1 species
CGCGAGGUGCGGGUGCCGCAGGAGGCUUGUGCGGCGCAGGCGAUGCGCGGUGGCGGGUCUGGUUCGCACCGGAUCUCGUGACGGCGCGGCGGAUCUCGCUGGAUGACGGCGUGCUCUGGCUUCGCCGUGAGGCGCUGCGCAUCGUCCUCCUCGACGAUCGCGGGGAGACGGUGGAUGCGCGGUUUCUCCGGGAGGGUGAGUCCUUCGACAUCGGAGAUAUCAUCGCGUUUCCUUGCCAUUUUGCUCGCGUUCGUGACAGGUUUCCGGCGUCGGUCGCGGUGGUUGCCGGUGCGAGCUCGUCGGCGGAGGCGUCCAUAAGUCAAAAGGGAGCGGGCGCACGCGGUGGGGGCCGCCCCGUUCGCCUGACAGGAGGGCGGGGAUUUUGGGGCGUGGACCGGGCCACCAUUACCCCGAUGCUCGACACGUGGGGCAGGUGGGAUCGGACCGCCAUGGAUCUCCUGACCCUAGGGUUUCCCUGAACGCCGCACGUAUAAAAUGGAGCCCCACCCCCUCCUCCCAAAUUCUGGAUCUCGACGAGAGCCUCUCCCACUUCUGGGGCGCGCCGUCGCCCCCUCGAUCUAGGGUUCCUCGAUCUUUCUCUUGGUGGGAGGGCAAAAUUCGGGGUGAUCCUCGUUCCUUUGCUCAAGUUGCUAGUUCUCCUCCACUUCCAUCCACCCUUGCUCCGAUCUGUGAGGACAAGAACACCAUGAGAGAGGAGGGUUUCGGUGCGGGGCGACAUGGUCGGGGGGUUGGUCGUUUUGAUCGGGGCCAGGGUCGCGGCCGCGGCUUCGACCACAACGUCUGGAAGCGCAAGACGGAUUCGGGGGGAUCCUCGACUCAGAAGGCUUCUGGAUCUGGUGAUGCUGGAUCCAGGAAGUGAGAUGAAGCUGCUGGCGACAAGCAUGCUGCUCCGCCUCGGCAGGGGAGGUGGGGAGAUGAUGAUGGGGACACGAGCGAGCCGCGCGCGGUGGAGAAGAAUCCUGCAUCACCUCGCGCGCGUGGGCUUCCUGGGCAUACUGGUAACAACACUCCCCUCCUCCACCCAUGUCAGAUCUGUAAUUUGACUGGGCACCCCACUGCUAGAUGCCCGCAAGCGAUAUGCGAGCGGUGCAAGAAGAAAGGACACCUAUCUGUUAUUUGCACUGAGUUCUUGCCUUGGGAAUUUUCUCCUGCUAUUUGUGCUUUUCAAAGCAAAGGGCAAGGUUUCUUCUACAUUCCUGAUUUCAGUAUCGAUAGGCAGCCUAGAGAGAGGAUUUACAAUAUUGUAGUCACUAUCACAGAGGGGGCUGCGCUGACUAAAGGUAUAGAGCAUGAGCUUAGUGUGUAUGUGGGGCAGGGAUGGCGUUGCUCUGCUAAAUUCUUCGCUCCACAGAUGUUUGUGAUGCGUAUGCCUAACCCCAGAGAAGUCGAUCGCGCUUUGUUUGUUGAGCAUAUAAAGUUGAAACAAUGUCGAGUUUCGGUCAAGUUUUCUCCUUGGUCCGAAGACAUUGAUUCAGAAGGGCUCCUAGAAGUUGCUUGGGUGAGAAUUGGGAAGAUCCCCCCUAAUAAGCGAUGUGAUAAAACUGUGGCUUAUGUGGGCGGGCUUGUGGGCAUAACCCUGGAGGUUGAUAUGUCCACUGUGAAUCGUCCAUCUUCAGUUAGGGCCAAAAUUGGAUGCAAAUCAGUGAAACAGCUCCCUGCCACAGCUGAAGUGGUCUUAGGGGUCCGUUUUUACAAAUUCACAUACGAAGUUGAGGAAAUCCUGGUGAUAAAUCCUGUACAUGAGGAGACUGUUCAUGUGGAAGCUAAAGAUGCUCCCACCAAAACUGAUCAGACUCCUAAACGUAAACGAGAUGAUCAGGGAUUGGAGGGAGAACAAUCCAACCCUAAGAAUGAGGAGAAAAGAGAGUCAUCUGCUCAUGGGGGCAAGACCUGCCGUCUGUCACCAUAAGAGCAAGAACCGUCUAUGUCUCUGACAGUGAUGUUGAUUCCUCUCUCCUAAUUGAGACUAUGGCUAAAGAGCAUGAGCUUGCGGUGAAAGAGAUAGACCAGGAGGCCUCCAAUUGGAUGGUGACUCUAAACCAUGUUGGGGACCGCACUCUGGUGGAAAAUGUGUCUGUAAACCAGGGAGUGAAGGUAAAUGCACCAUCUAUAACUCGUCGAUCUUUAUCUUAUGCCGAUGUGGUUUCUAAUUCUGCUCAGAUUGUGGAAGUGGAAGGUGACGUUGACUCAAGCCUGAAGGACUCUAGUGACUACGUGGUACAACUUCCACCUUCUGAAUGCAGUGAUGAGCUUGUCCUCACCCCUCCUCUUGCUCCUGAAGCGAUUAUUAAAUUCAGCAAGCGCAAUGUGCAGAGGAUGCAGGAGAAUAUUGAAACAAAAGCCAUUCGCCUUGCUCAGAAACGAGACCUGGGAGGUAAUUAUCACACUUCUUGCAAUAAUUCUUUUGAUGCUCUUUCCAAUACUGAAUUACUUCAUAGAGUUGCUUGCAUGGGAGUGGAUAUACCUGAUAAUGAUUUCUCUUGCGUUAAUGUACUUAGAGAGCUAGAGAGGGUGAGAGAAAAUCUGGAUGAGAAAAAUAGGAUGGAUGAGAAUAAGGAUAAUAAUGCUGAUAAUGGGGAUGACAUUCUAGUUACUAAUGGGUUGGGGAAAACUGUCCCUGUUAUUCUUACCUGGCUUGACCAGGAAGAUAUCUUGCAUGAGCAGGUUUCAUCUGGUAAGAAAAAAAGGAAGGUUAAAAAGAAAUCUGCUGUUAAGCUACCUAGACCUAUGACUAGGAGCCAGAAAAAACACAACUCUAAUGAAGAGCUUGUCUGUAGCCCUGCAAAGCCUCCUGGCAGGGCUACUCGAUCCCAAUUCCACAAAAAACGUUCCAAAUGAGAGGUCUCAUUUGGAAUUGUAGAGGGGCAGGCAAGAAAGGAAUGGCCACCUGCCUCUCGGACUUGAUCAGUGACCAUUCUUUAGAUUUUAUCGGGCUGCAGGAAACUAUGAAGAAGAAAAUUACUCCUAGGUGCAUUAGGAGAAUUGAUCCCUUUGGUCUGUUCCAUUGGGAAUGGAUUCCAUCUAUGGGAAAAUCUGGGGGCAUCCUGGGUGGUGUGAGACAUGAUACCUUUGAUAUCGUCUCCUGUAAUAAAGGCAAAUAUAUUUUGCAAUUGGUAGUGCGUGACAAGAGGAGGAGAAUUGACUGGGGCCUGUUGAUAGUCUAUGGGUUUGCACAUGAGGAGUACAAAGAGGAGUUCCUAGUUGAUCUUGCUGCCAUGUGUAGUAAUAUGAAUGUCCCCUACAUUGUAGGCGGUGACUUCAAUAUCCUGCGCAGCUGCGAUGAGAAAAAUAAGAAAAUGAGUAACAGCAGAUCCACUGAUCUCUUUAACUCAAUUAUCAAUGCCUUGGCUCUUAGAGAGAUUCACACUAGUGGGGGUAAGUAUACCUGGACAAACAACCAGGCCCACCCCACCCUAGAAAAACUCGACCGGAUUUUGAUGUCUGAAGACUGGGAAAGUCUGUUCCCUUUGGUCUCUGUUAGGAAAUUGGUCCGGGAACUAUCAGAUCACAAUCCCCUACUGCUGUCCAGUGGGGAGGAAGGGCAUGAAGCUCCUAAACCUCUUGAGUUUCGUUUCAAUCUUGCCUGGAUCAAAGAUGAAAAAUUCCUACCCACUGUUGCUAAGAUUUGGGCUAGGAGAGUCUUCUCAUCUGAUCCUAUUGACAUCCUGAACAUUAAAUUGAAAAGAUUCAAAACCUACUUCAAAGGUUGGGGUUCGGAUAAAUAUGGUCACGAUAAGAAAAGGAAGGAAGAACUUAGGAUGGAACUGGCCAUGCUAGAAGAACUAGAAGAAAAUGGCCCCCCUGUCCCCUGAGCUAUACGGCAUUAAGGUGGAUGUCAGUAUUGAAUUGCAUGACCUGUUGGUGAAUGAAGAGAUCUUUUGGCUUCAGCAGUCCCAUGAGCGUUGGCUCCUGAAAGGGGACCUGAACACCGAUUACUAUCAUAAAAUCGCCAAUGGGCGAAAGAGAAAAAACACAAUUCACUCCUUGAGGGCUGGGGGGGGGGGUAGAUAUUGAAGGCACGGAUAAGCUGAUUGCCCAUGCUACAGAAUUUUACAAAAAUUUAUUUGGGCUUGAGUUGGGUAACUUGUUUCACCUAGGUCCUGACACAUGAGCUGAUGAGGAAAAACUUAGUGCUGACGAUAAUGCAGACUUAUGUCGUGAAUUCACUGAGACAGAAGUUAAGGAAGCAUUAUUCUCUAUGGCACAUAUAAUAGAGCCCCCGGUCCGGAUAACAUUCCUGUUGAAUUCUAUCAGGUGUGUUGGGAUAUAGUUAAAGACGAUAUCAUGAGGCUAUUUGAACACUUGCAUAAAGGGACGCUUGAUGUCCAACGCCUCAACUAUGGAGUGAUCACUCUUUUGCCUAAAACUGCUGGUGCUGAUAAAAUCCAGCAAUUUAGGCCUAUAUGUUUCCUGAUAUGCCCGUACAAAUUGAUUACCAAAGUCUUGGAUCGUCGUGUUGAGAGCUACGCUAACAAGUUAAUUAGUUCGACCCAAAAUGCUUUUGUUAAAGGGAGAAGCAUUAUGGAUGGCGUGCUCUCCCUGCAUGAGAUUUUGAACUAUACUCAUGUGAAAAAAGGGUGGGGGUCGUCCUAAAGCUUGAUUUUGAAAAAGCCUACGAUAAGUAAACCGGGAAUUUCUUCUAGAAUGCCACAAGCUUCGAGGUUUUAGUGACACUUGGUGUGGUUGGAUUAAAGAAAUCUUACUUAAUGGGACGGUAAGCAUCAAACUAAAUAACCAGGUUGGCCCCUAUUUCCAGAGUGCCAAAGGGGUUCGACAAGGGGACCCCCACUCCCCAUUCCUGUUUAAUUUGGCUGCCGAUUGCCUUGUAAAAAUGAUCACUAAUGCCCAAAAAAAUAAAAUGUUGGUGGGUUUGGCACCUGAUCUCAUCCCCAAUGGAGUUGCGGUGCUCCAAUACGCGGACGAUACUAUAAUUUGUUUGGAACACGAUGUGGAUAAAAGCAGUGAACCUGAAGUUACUUCUUUACACUUUUGAACUGAUGUCUGGGCUUAAAGUCAAUUACCAAAAGAGCAAGAUUUUCACUGUGGGUGGGGAUGAAAACACUGUGAAACACUACGCUGAGUUGUUUAACUGUGAUGUGGGUAGCUUUCCUUUUAAAUACCUUGGUAUGCCUGUAAGCUAUACUGCCCUCAGAGACUCAGAUUGGGAGUUUAUUGUGGCUAAAUACCUCAAGAGAUUUGAGGCUUGGAUCNNNNNNNNNNNNNNNNNNNNNNNNNNNNNNNNNNNNNNNNNNNNNNNNNNNNNNNNNNNNNNNNNNNNNNNNNNNNNNNNNNNNNNNNNNNNNNNNNNNNNNNNNNNNNNNNNNNNNNNNNNNNNNNNNNNNNNNNNNNNNNNNNNNNNNNNNNNNNNNNNNNNNNNNNNNNNNNNNNNNNNNNNNNNNNNNNNNNNNNNNNNNNNNNNNNNNNNNNNNNNNNNNNNNNNNNNNNNNNNNNNNNNNNNNNNNNNNNNNNNNNNNNNNNNNNNNNNNNNNNNNNNNNUUGUCACUCAAAUUUCGUUGUAUCAUAUGUCUAUGUGGUUAAUGAGCAAGACUUUCAUUGAAAAACUUGACAAACACAGAAGAAAAUUCUUUUGGCAAGGGUGUAACAAGAAAAAAAGAUAUCACCUAGUCAGGUGGGGCAGAAUCUGUAGAUCGAGAGAGAAAGGCGGCCUGGGAGUUAAAGAUCUUCGGAAACAGAACAUUAGUUUGAUGGUCAAGUGGUGGUGGAAGCUAGAGAACCAAAAUGGGCUAUGGCAAGAUAUCGUGCAUGCCCGAUACUUGAAAAACAAAACUGUGGCAACGGUCGAACCCAGAUUCGCUGAUUCGCCGUGCUGGAAAGCCCUCCUUAAAGUCAAGGCUUUUUACAUGGCUGGUAGGAGAAUUAACGUGGGAUCUGGAAAUCUCACUAGGGUGUGGAAAGACCCCAUUAAUGGGUCAAGCCCUCUUCAGGAGAGAUAUCCUUUACUUUUGGAUAUUUGCACUAACAAGACUGUACUGUUGCUGAGUUUAAAAAUGUGGAAGCCAACACCUUCUUCAGGAGAAGGCUCACUCCUGACCUCCAGAAACAAUGGGAGGAAAUGAGGAACAAUAUUAACAAUAUACAACUAGGUUCUGGGGGGGAUCGGGUGUAUUGGGGUCUCAAUGGAAUGGUAGAUUCUCUACCAAAUCCAUGUACAAAUGGUUGGAAAAUCCUCUUAGUGGCUGUCACUACAGAUGGAUUUGGAAGGCCAAAAUCCCUCUCAAAAUCAAAAUCUUUUUGUGGCAAAUGUCCCAGGAUGCUGUUCUUACAAGGCAAGUUAUGAAAAAAAGGAGGUGGCCUGGGAACCCCAAAUGCUCAUUUUGCAAUGAGGUUGAGUCUUCCAGACAUUUAUUUUUCACUUGCCCGGUGGCUAGAGUAAUAUGGAGAUGUAUUGGGAUGGCUUUGGGGACUGACUUGUGCCUGAAUAGUUACUGGCAAUACUUCUCUUGGUGCCACACUUUCCUCCCUGCUGGAGGAAAGUAUUAUACUAUGGGUCCCGCUGCUGUUUGCUGGGCAAUCUGGCUUGCUCGAAACCGAGCAACUUUUAAGAAAAAAUAGAUUAAAACUCCUUUUGAGAUUGUUUUCUCUGUGGUUUCCUUUUUGCUGUACUGGGCAGGUUUACAACAGGAAGAAGGGCUCAAGGAGCUGCGAAGCGGGGCGGAGAUGGUCAGGUCGAGCAUAGUGUGGCUGAUGAAAAUGUGCGAAGCGGUGAGGAGGCCAAUCGAGGGAGAAUGAUCGUGCAAGCUCGGCUUCGGAUGCUUUUGUUGGGUCAAGUUCUGGCUCUCGUGCUUUUGCCUCUUUGCUGGUGCCUAGUUGUAAUAGACUUUUAGGGGUUGGUGUUGAACUAUGGUGUUGUCAGAUUUUCGCCCCAUGGCGUUCGUUACGAUGACGAGCGAACGCAGUGGGUUUCCUGGCAGUGCUCGAACUCGCUGCACCUCUUUCCCUUUCCUCCUGUCGUUCUCGGAACUUUGUAUUUCCGUUCAUUUGCAAUGGAAAGGGGUCAUGCCCGGUUAGAAAAAAAGCGCAAAACAAAG